rnacentral:sRNA from 1 species
UGUUAAUAUCAUUGUAGUGGUACAGUAUUCUAGUCAAUCAAGCUAGCUUGGAAGGCGGGGCUAAAAAUCCGUUGAAGGGCGUAUCGAUGAAGUUCUUUGUUUCGGCUGCCGACGCCCAGUUGGGGGUCGAUUCAGGGAGUAAGGAGAUGGGGGCGAUCCACAAUGGCAUGUGGGCGUUGACCCUCACUUCGUGGAGACCAGCUUUAUUCUUGUAAAUAAAGUGGGGGAAACCUAUAGCUUUGUGUGCAAAUGCGAACUAUAGUGUAGCCUGCCUUGAGUGGACUAGGUGGAUAAGUAGAUCAGGUUUUGGAUAAAAGGGCCCUUUGGAAGAAAUCAUUGCUACUUGAAACCUACUCUGCAAAAGAGGCUAAUAGCUAGGUUGGUUGUUGAGGAAAUCUCCUAGACUGUUCUUUUUAGAAGUAUAUAAAGGAUUACAGUGCGGACUAAGUGGUAAUCCAGUCCUACUUUUGGUGACAGGGUAGAUGUCAGUUUAAAGGGAAACCGCUGCUAUGGCGACAGGCAGUAUUGACUUGGGAAAUCCAACUGGACCUAAGCCGUAAAAUUUACUUUAUAUAUUGCCACUAUAAAUUCUAGCUGA